rnacentral:rRNA from 1 species
GAUUAACGCUGGCGGCGUGCAUAACACAUGCAAGUCGAACGAAGUUGCGGACGGGUGAGUAACGCGUGAGUAACCUGCCUUCGAGAGGGGGAUAGCUUUAGGAAACGACGAAUAAUACCCUAUGCGAUAAGAUGGAGUUGCGUAUGAUUAGUUAGUGUGUGGGGUAACGGCCCACCAAGACAGCGAUCAGUAGACGGCGUGAGAGAGUGGACGGCCACAUUGGGACUGAGACACGGGCCAGACUCUACGGGUGGCAGCAGUGUGGAAAUUUGCACAAUGGGGGAAACCCUGAUGCAGCGACGCCGCGUGAUUUAGAAGGCCUUCGGGUUGUAAAAAUCUUGUCUAUGGGAAGCAGUACCAUAGGAAUAAGGACCGGCUAACUACGUGCCAGCAGCCGCGGUAAUAC